GCAAUUGUUUGAGCUGUUAAGUUAAACUCCUAAUUCACAAAGAUCUCCCAGAAUAAAUCUGUCCUACAGAAUUUAGCAAGCACCAGGGACCAGUAAUUGGUAAAUGACAGCUCAUAUUUAUAUUACUCAUAGUCUCCUAACUCUACUUCUGAAAAGGCUUGCAAAGAAACAGGAAAAUAUAACCCGUGACCAGAAGAAAAAUCAAUCGACAGAAAGAAACCCAGUAAUGAGAGAGAUGAUAAAAUUAGCAGGAACUUUCUGGACCUGGAGGUCAAACGGGCAAUCCAUGACCCAUUCCUGGAGGAUGCCUUCCGGGUCCACAGGACACAGAAACCUGCACCAAAAAAGCUUUGAUGGCAACUCCACCCCAAUCUCAGCCAGCUGUCUCUACUUGUAACUUUCUAGGACUUAAAGAUUAGGUCUGUAAUCAGUGACCAAGCCAAGUCGCACCUGGGUCCUCCCUGGAGGAUGCCUCCUGGGUCAAGCUCCCUAUCUGUUACCUGCUACCUCUUUAAGCUCACCAUUGCUUCUUUGGUUAUUGUCACAAAUUUGGCCCUGAGACAACUCACACCCAAACUCAUUCUAUACCUAAAUUACCUCAUGUCCACAAAUUAUGAAAUUCAAAAAUGAAGAUACUGGCCUUACAAUAAAGGACUGUUCAUUCCAACUGAUUUGUUGAUUUGCAGCUGAAGAGAUUCUCAAAGUACCUGUUACUAUAAAACAGUAUUCCCUCUCAACAGUACUGUAGAGUCACUGUGUUGGGGAAAUGGCACAUCACAUCCUAGUAGUAUUCAUUUUUACCCCUUCAAUGAAGUAUUUUUAAU